UCCAGUGGUACUCUUCCCGCCUCAAUUUAAACACCAUGCCUGGACAAGGCCAACAGAAUCCCAAAGGGGAUAUGGGGAAAAGCCCACACCAACACAGGCAGCUGCAAAAUUUACAAAAAGAAUGAAGGAAAGCCUGUUCUACUGCUCUUUGGAUCCCUCAGUGGGAAACAACAAGGUGGCCUCUCAAAUGAAAUCAGCUUUAAACUGAGAGAUGAAAGAAC
rnacentral:lncRNA from 1 species